UUCCUGAGCCCGGGAGACCAGCAGCUGUGCAGCGCAGCACCCGUGCUUGGAAACUUCUGAGGGCCAGGUGCUGCUCACAUCCAGAGCUCUCUGUCAGAGAGUAGAUAGCAGCACGAUCAAGCCAAGGACAAGGGAGGACUUCCCAGAGGGAAAGGCUAAAGAGCCACAGAGCUUGCCAGCCAUGGGAGGCUGCCUUGGGCAGAGCCAAGGUCCCCAGAUGGGUUGACAAAGUGACUCACUUGCUGACAGACAAAAAAAAAAAAAAAGAUUUUUAGUUCCUGCCCA